ACUAAUGACACCGAAACGCAAAACCGCCGAAGAAGAAAACAUACAUUUGUCUAAAAAAAUGCAAAUCCGGCGGGCAAAAACAUAUGUCGAAGUCUAAAGACAAACGAGAAAGUGGGAGACGAGACUUUCUGCCUGGGACACAUGAAAGGCACGGGGCUAACUUCCUUAAUAAACGAAGAGCUCUUAAAGACCAAACCAAGCCAGAAAAAAGGGGCGGAAGGGAAGGAAACGGGCGAUUCACAGGAAAAUACAAAUGGCUGAGACCUACGGAGAAAAAUCACGACCUGACUCAACGGAGCGCAAGACGGGGAGCCCGGGCAAGCGCGGGAUGGACGUUCUGCACGAGUGGGGUCGCCGUCCAGCAGACCCAUGCAAGCGCGCUGCAGGCGGUGGCACAGAGCGGGACCGCGAGCGACAGGAGCGGACGGGGGUGACUAACUCACGGGCUAGCGCCGUCUGGGGCUAAGACAGACCACGACUCGGUAACAGAGUUAGCGAAAUGCACGAGGUGCUGAAGGGGUAGAAAUGAACUGGAAAAACGCAGAGCCACCUCAGACUUCCUGUGCCCUCCUUCUGGUGGUAAAGAUGGACGCCUUGAGAAGGAUGAAGCCAGAUAGGACAUUCAUCUGGACAUGUAGGAGAAAGGCUUUCAUUAGCUUUUGCUGAAGGAUGAUUGCGUAUUGUAGCUCCAUCUUCGAUAUUCAAUAAAUAUUCAA